CCGUCGUCGAACUGCCAGGCUUUCUGAGUAUAGAGGAGGCUAUGAUAAUGUGAAAGGGUUCCGGACAACGAGGCGAGUGAGGCUUGAUGUUCGCGUGCGCUGGUGAGGUGGGAGCUACCACCGACGCCUGUCUCUGCGAAGCCACUUGUCACUGUGGGUGCGGACUUCCAGCCGUCUGUCGCGCCGCCGCCAUGAUUCAUCGGCGUCGGCCUUGCCACAACGUCACUCUCUCCGACUAAGCCGGCCUCGAGGCGAGCGCUCCCAAACUGGGCCACGACCGCCGACGCCAAUGGAUUGCGUGCUCUCGCGAAGCACGCCUGCGGAGAAAAACAGUCGAGUCGUUCGCCCACGCCGCGAUCGACCGGAUGAAGACGGGCUGAACCCUCUUGGGAUCAUCCGGAAUGUGGACGGUUCGCUCGAUCGACAGUGAACUGGAAACUUGGAAAACGACGUACCAGAUGCCUAAGACGGGUGUCACCCUCAGCGAGGACUCCAGUCCAACCCGAACGCAGCACUCCUGUUCAAUCCCUGUCUGCUGAAGACCGCCAUCUAGGGCCCAGUAUUCACAUUUCCACGCUCCUUGAUUAGCAGACUCUGGCUAAACAUUUUA